rnacentral:rRNA from 1 species
UACGUAGGGGGCAAGCGUUGUCCGGAAUUAUUGGGCGUAAAGAGCGUGUAGGCGGUUCGAUUAGUCUGCUGUAAAAGUCGGGGGCUCAACCCCCGAAAGCCGGUGGAUACUGUCGGGCUAGAGUACGGAAGAGGCGAGUGGAAUUCCUGGUGUAGCGGUGAAAUGCGCAGAUAUCAGGAGGAACACCAAUGGCGAAGGCAGCUCGCUGGGACGUGACUGACGCUGAGACGCGAAAGCGUGGGGAGCAAACAGG